AUUGAACGCUGGCGGCAGGCCUAACACAUGCAAGUCGAGCGGUAGAGAGGUGCUUGCACCUCUUGAGAGCGGCGGACGGGUGAGUAAUGCCUAGGAAUCUGCCUGGUAGUGGGGGAUAACGUCCGGAAACGGACGCUAAUACCGCAUACGUCCUACGGGAGAAAGCAGGGGACCUUCGGGCCUUGCGCUAUCAGAUGAGCCUAGGUCGGAUUAGCUAGUUGGUGAGGUAAGGGCUCACCAAGGCGACGAUCCGUAACUGGCCUGAGAGGAUGAUCAGUCACACUGGAACUGAGACACGGUCCAGACUCCUACGGGAGGCAGCAGUGGGGAAUAUUGGACAAUGGGCGAAAGCCUGAUCCAGCCAUGCCGCGUGUGUGAAGAAGGUCUUCGGAUUGUAAAGCACUUUAAGUUGGGAGGAAGGGUACUUACCUAAUACGUGAGUAUCUUGACGUUACCGACAGAAUAAGCACCGGCUAACUCUGUGCCAGCCGCCGCCGUAAUAC
rnacentral:rRNA from 1 species